UUCAGGACUGAGAAGGAAGGGGGAAGAUGCCAGAAUGGUGGGCCUCCAGAGGAUGGUUCCCUCCUCUUUCCUCCCAAUUCCAAAGAUAUACUGUUGACAGCCUCUCAAGUGAAAAAGAGCAUGGAAGAAUUUAAUGGGAUUGGAAGCCGAUGAAUCCCCAGGACCUGGUGCUUGGCUUCCCAAAGAAAAAAGUCAUGGAAUUAGUGAACACACCCUUUGUCAUCUGCCUAAAUCCUGCUCUCUGUGGAUCAGCUGCACACGGUUCCCAGUGGUCUCGGUGGGAAGGGUCAACUGCAGCAGAAUUGACAUCAUGUUCUUGGGAAAGUGAUCCAACGUGUCCCUUAUUCCCUUCACCACUGGGCUUGAUUUUCAAAGGUUCUUUUGAAGACCCUGACCUGGAGUUACACGCCUGACUUCGGUUCUUUGCAGAAUGGGAUCUGUUCUCGGGGUUUCAGGACCGGCCGUUGUUCAGCACGCCAAGGGUUCGGCCUGAGAGUCUGGCUCGGAUUUGGAAGCCUAAGAUCUCGGGGCUCUGGAGACGGGCGGAUCGAGGGUCAGUGUCACGGCAGGAGACCCGUGUGUCGUAGGGGGAGUCGGAAAAUCUAUUGCUGUGUGCCCGAAGACCCGGGAUCUUUGCGAUCUUCAGGCACAGAGCUAGAAAAAAGCGAUGUAAUGGACUUUUUAAUGACCUAAUUGUGCUCUUAUAUCUUACGGUCUUAUUUGUCAUGCGUACGUCAAUACAUUGAAACAUAUAGCUGUGUCAAAUCAAAUCAGCUAGGCAUUGUUCAUACAUUUGAAGCAAUAUGCCUGUGAUGCUGUUGCAAGAAAGUUUUUCAACGCAGCUGUGCAUACCACAACCAACCUGACUGACUUCGGCAUCUUCAUUCUAUUUAACUAUAAGAACCUACUGAAAAACUAAAUAAACAUUGACAUUUAAUGUGCUCAUAUUAUAUCAGCAAAUAUUUUGCAUCAAGUGCACUUUUCUUGGCACACUUCCUUCCCAUUGCAUGAUCUUGUAACCUCUGGCAGAGAGACGUCCCUGAAUAUGAUUCACAUUGCAUUUCAUUGGUAAUUGAUACAACUCUCUAAAUUUACCAUGGUUCUUAAGUUCUACUUCUCCUGGAGCUCAGUGGUACUGGCAGUGUACAAAGUUCAAAGUAAAUUCAUUAUCGAAGUACAUAUAUGUACUACCCUGAGUGUUAUAUGUGUGAUGUGUGUGUUAUGUGUACUUCUAUGCUUUACACCCUAGUCUGGAGAACCAUUGUCUCAUUUGGUGGUAUACAUAUAUAUAGGUAAAUGACAAUAAUCUUCAAUAAACUUGACUUAAGAGUCAGUUUCUUGCAGGCAUUCACAAUAGAUAUAAAGAAACACAAUAGAAUCAAUGAAAAACUACACACAA